AGUGAACGCUGGCGGUAGGCCUAACACAUGCAAGUCGAACGGCAGCACAGGAGAGCUUGCUCUCUGGGUGGCGAGUGGCGGACGGGUGAGGAAUACAUCGGAAUCUACUCUGUCGUGGGGGAUAACGUAGGGAAACUUACGCUAAUACCGCAUACGACCUACGGGUGAAAGCAGGGGACCUUCGGGCCUUGCGCGAUUGAAUGAGCCGAUGUCGGAUUAGCUAGUUGGCGGGGUAAAGGCCCACCAAGGCGACGAUCCGUAGCUGGUCUGAGGGGCUGAUCAGCCACACUGGAACUGAGACACGGUCCAGACUCCUACGGGAGGCAGAAGUGGGGAAUAUUGGACAAUGGGCGCAAGCCUGGUCCAGCCAUGCCGCGUGGGUGAAGAAGGCCUUCGGGUUGUAAAGCCCUUUUGUUGGGAAAGAAAUCCAGCUGGCUAAUACCCGGUUGGGAUGACGGUACCCAAAGAAUAAGCACCGGCUAACUUCGUGCCAGCCGCCGCCGUAA
rnacentral:rRNA from 1 species